UUAUACUUAUUGGGAUUCUGGGGAAUCCCUAAGAAAAAAGCAGUGGCUUAAUCUAUGAUUUACUUUACUAGAGGGUUACUGUUGAAUCAAACCUUCUUUAUAGUUUUUAUACACAACUCUGUUUUAUUCUUUUACUUGUCAACUCGACUUAAUGUCAUUCUCUCCAUAAAAUAAAAUGUUCAUUGUUUUACUUUAAUUAUCGUUUAUUUUAAAAUUCACAACAGUUACUAGUAUAGGCUUUGCUUUUUACCCAGAAAUAUCCUAAAUCCUGGAAUUUUUUAAAUUGUCUUUAUCAUCCAAAAUAUCAGCUAUUUUUCCCUAAAAAAGAGAGAAUUCCCUAAAAGUGGAAGCACUGCUUCAAAGUACGCUAACCUUUUUUAUUGAGUCAGAACUCGUAUCUGCCAUCUAGUGAGUUUAUUAGUUCAUUAAGGCCAAAACGUUUCAAAAAUGACCUCGCCGGUUCCUAAAGAUGACGCUAGUUGAAUGUUCUUUUCCUUUGUAUGGGAGUUGCACCCCCCUGGGGGUGAAUGAAGUUAGCCCCUCAAAAAAAUUUUUUUUUCCUGUUUUCUACUUAUUUUCUAUUUAUUCGUUUGUUCAUCAUUUGUUCUUGAUUGUUCACUGUUAAUAAUUGUUUGUUCCCCAUUUAUUUAUUUAAAAAAAAAUAUUAAAAAUAUAUCUAAAAGUUAGCCCCUCGAUUGCAAUUUUUAAUAUUUUUUCGUCCUUAAUUACUCGUAAAUAUUCAUUUUCGAUUGUUCUUAUAUAAAAUACGUUUGUUCUCUUUCGAAAUUACUCAUUUUUUGUUUAAUUAAUUGUAUUAGUUGAAUAAAUGUAUACAAAAUAUGUGUACUGCGCGUGCCAUAAGUGUAUAAUCUAUGGCGCAUGCGUCAACUAUAAUGCCUAAACUUUCUACGCGGUUUUAAUCGUGAAAAAAAAACAAUUAUAAAUCCUGAAGGAUCAAUUAAUUGGUAUACAGUUUAAUUAAAAAAAUUAAAAAUAAAAUAAAUAAAAUAAUGUGCAUUCGCGUAAAGUUAGCCCAAAUACAUUUUUUCCAUCCUCCUAUAUACCUAUCGCUAUGAAGGUAUAAAAAAGAUAGGUUAAGAGUUCACAUAGGUAAUAUAAACAAAUAAGUAAAUAUGUUCAUUAUUUAUCUUUCAAGAGAUAAUGUAGGUAUACAUUAUAAUAACAUUUUGACACAGUCGAAAUUAUAUUCCUAACAUUAGUAAAAUAACAUUUUAAUAUUUUUUUUAUAGGUUAUGUAUUGAAAUUGUUGGAAAAUUAUUUCAUGUUUUAGCUGGAAAACUACAUGGAGAAUUAUAUGCAAUACAAGAUAAUGAGCUCCAUCAAAUGAAUUCGAAUGAAACCAAACUGUUUACCAUCCAAAUUCGAUUGUCGGGCAGAUAGAAAACGAAAAUUCACUCAUAGUGAACCUCGGCCUGCAUUUGUGAAACGGCAAAGACUCACUAUUAUCAAGGAAAUUGAAGAGACGACUAAAAAUGAGAUGUGUCGUAUUAUUAUACCUUUGCCAUCUUGUAGUCAAGAUGUCCAGCCACUUGAAAAUAGGUGUAGUAAUGACAAAGCUAUCCAAGUAGCUCCAGCACAGGAACACAAAGGCAAGGCAAGUGUGUAUUGCCACAUCACCCCUUAAUAUAUCUGAAGCAAGUAUAAGUAAACAAUCAGAACCAGCAAAAAAAAAAACUGUUGUUCCUGAGGACAAAUUUGACAGUGAUGAGUCAAAUGCACCAGCAACAGAAGGAUCAACUGUUGACUAUGGGUUAUAGAAGAAGAAGAUUAAUUCAUAUUUAUUUAAAUUAAUAUUAAUGAAUAUUAAUUUAAAUUAUCGUGCAAAAUUCGUGGUCAAAACAUAUGUGUAUUUUAUAAAUAAAUAUUCAUUCUCAGUA